UAUAAUAAAGUUUAUUUUUCAUUUAAAAAAUCUAAAUACUUUUGUUUUCUCGAUUAAAAACGCAUUAACGCGAGUCAUGAAAUUGCUGUCUAGAAGUUUUAAUUAACAUACUUUAGUAUACCGCAUUACGCAAUACCAGUUAUGCAACUAAUGAUUUUUGGCAAUAUUUUACUAACGACUUAAUUUGUCAUAUUGAAAUUUACUAUACAUAACCAACAAUUUUAUCGAUAUUGCUUUUUUCGCACUAUCACUCUACUAUUCAUAUUGUUUUAAAAAUAUCAAUAUCGAUAUCAAAAAUGGCAUGUAAAAGAUCUAAAGAUGAACCUUCGGAAUGCAACAGCUUUCUUCAAAGCUCUAAACGGAUGGGCCAAGUUGCAACGCAUAUUCUUACUGCAGAAUCAGAAGUAGAAAUUGAUUUUAAUACAU